AUUGAACGCUAGCGGGAUGCUUUACACAUGCAAGUCGAACGGCAGCGCGGACUUCGGUCUGGCGGCGAGUGGCGAACGGGUGAGUAAUGUAUCGGAACGUGCCCAGUAGCGGGGGAUAACUACGCGAAAGCGUAGCUAAUACCGCAUACGCCCUACGGGGGAAAGCAGGGGAUCGUAAGACCUUGCACUAUUGGAGCGGCCGAUAUCGGAUUAGCUAGUUGGUGAGGUAACGGCUCACCAAGGCGACGAUCCGUAGCUGGUUUGAGAGGACGACCAGCCACACUGGGACUGAGCCACGGCCCAGACUCCUACGGGAGGCAGCAGUGGGGUAUUUUGGACAAUGGGGGCAACCCUGAUCCAGCCAUCCCGCGUGUGAGAUGAAGGCCUUCGGGUUGUAAAGCACUUUUGGCAGGAAAGAAACGUCGCGGGCUAAUACCCCGUGGAACUGACGGUACCUGCAGAAUAAGCACCGGCUAACUACGUG
rnacentral:rRNA from 1 species